CGUAUGACGACUGGCGCACGGGUGAGUAACGCGUAUCCAACCUUCCCAUAACUACGGGAUAACCCGUUGAAAGACGGCCUAAUACCGUAUGAUAUCGUUUGCUGACAUCAAAUAACGAUUAAAGGUUUAGCGGUUAUGGAUGGGGAUGCGUCUGAUUAGCUUGUUGGCGGGGUAACGGCCCACCAAGGCGACGAUCAGUAGGGGUUCUGAGAGGAAGGUCCCCCACAUUGGAACUGAGACACGGUCCAA
rnacentral:rRNA from 1 species